CGGUAGAAACGGGCCGGUGCACCGGCGUGCUGCAGCUGUGUUCAUCCUCACCCGUCAGCCACACUAAAGGAGACAGAGGCCCAGCAGAUAAUCACUCUCUGUAGCUGACAACCAUCGUUACUUGGAGUCCUGUUGGUUUCGUUCUGUUUUUACGUUUAAAAAUUACGGCCAGGCAGCGUUUCACACAACAUGGCUACCUUUCAUUUGCUGUUAAAUUGUGUUACUUACAAGCUUUGCUAAUUUUUCUAAUUAUUAUUAUUAUUAUUUUGUUUAUGUGUUCUGAUAUUUGCUGCUCCCGUUAAAUAAAAAUAACAGUGACAUAACAGUGGCUGUGACAUUAUCUGAGCAUCCGUUACCUCUACCUGCCGAUGAAGACCGAGAGAUGUGGUAGAAAGCCCAGGAGAGUACCAGACUGUCCAUCAUUUCUCAACACACUCCGUAGCAGCCUCCCACGAAGCAUCAGAUGAGCCAAAUCGGCGCACAUCUUUAAAAAACAUUGCCUUAAAACAACGAUUUAAAAACGUUUGCUCCAUGCUGGAUGUCUUUGGAGUGAAACAUUUCCAUCUCACCGCAGCUGGGAUGGAAACUGUGUCAUGCUCGCUCUGCGGCGGUGGUGGAUGUGUCUUUCUUCUUCAAAGAGUCGCAGAGUUUCCAAUAAAGUUUCGAGUUCAGGGUGGAAAUCAGCCGCAGCUGAGACAGAGCGGCUGUUUCCUGUCGUUCUCCGUCGCAUGUUCGCCGAGUAUCUGGCUCUGAUUUGCUGUCGAGUGAGACUCUUGGGCUUCGGCUUGUUUGUUCUUCUCCUUCUAAUUAGCUUGAAGUGUAAUUUGUUCAUUAACCAGCAUUGCUUUUGAAGAGAAAAGUUACCAAUAACAUAAACGGUAGUGCACAUAGUUGGUGGUGUGACACCAACUGCUGUGUCCGUGUUCCUACUUCAAAUUAAAAGCAUUGAACAAAUACAGUCCUGACAUUUACAACACCUCUAUAUCUUUUUCAUCACUUGCUCCCUUCUUUGUUACUGUUGCUAUAUGCGUGUCAGGCUCUCUCAUCUUGCGCCAGACAUAAUGUGACAGUAAUAUGGCAUUAAGUGCUAUGUGCUGAUAAUAAAGGAAAAGAAGAUGAACUGAAGUAAACGACACAGGGUCUUAAACAAACAAAAAGAAGGUUUUGCAGGCUGUGCAACUUAUGUUUUCUCACGUUCAGAUGUUGGCCAUCACACUCAAAUUUGCUAUGUAAUUAUGCCUUCUUUAAGGGCUUUAAGCUUUGUAUGUGUCAGCAUGUUGAGUGUCAGAGAGAUUCCCUCAUGUGCCUGCAUGGUUCAAGUCACGUAGAGCCUCCAUUUGUUUAUCUCUGCGUUUUCUGUAACAACCACCCAGACACACACACAAACAUACACAAACACUGACAGCCCACACACCCAGCUCAGUUAGUAAGAUAAAAUGGACGUCUUUGUGAAACCAAAUUUAGCUUUCAUAUCGAACGAAUCUCAAUUUCCCUGGGUGAAAUGCUAGAUUAAUCUAAACUGAACCGAGGUCAGUCUGACAGAAGGUCAGAGGUCAAGGCAGGCUGGGUGUCACUGACCUCUGCGGCAUCACAGCAGAUCGUGGACGGUGGUGAGAAAGCUCCAGGAUCAGCUCAGAAAACCAAACACUCAAGUAUCUUGGAGAAAACUUCAGUAGUUUUUCAAAAGUGAAAUCGUGUCCUUAUGUUUUUCUUGUUAGUACAGAAGUUAAAUUACGUCAACUUCUUUAAUAUUGACUGAAGAGAUAUUGGAGGAAGAAACAGGCUCAUCGUUUUUUUUAUUUGAGGCCAUAAAAUGCCCAAAUUCAAACAUUCUUUAAAGCUGCAAUAAUCGAUAUUUAUAUAUUGAACCAGCAGCGUUUUAGUGUCUUUCAGCUCCUUGUUUGGGUUUUACAGGCCUUACUGCUAUAGUUCGCUCUCACCGCUGCCAUAGAGUCGUUUUUGGCCUCAGCAGGCAGCUGUUUUCAGAAAAAAAGCAACAAAAUCCCAUUGUCCACUACCUGCUCGGCGGCAAACACUAGCAACUCGCUGGUGAACACAGUGGAGCAUUUCACGGCUGAAGAGCCAGAUAUUUCCCUCAGGAGUUGGUGGAGACCAAAA